rnacentral:lncRNA from 1 species
CAGUAUUUAGUAUGUUUGAUGCCUUCGUGGCUCAGACAGAAUUAUUUGUUAUGUGUUCCGGGUCACGGCUCGAUGCAGAAUGCAGUAUAUGUGUGUUCAUGUUAGUUGAUAUGUUUACGUUAUGCUUUGUUUAGUUAGUUCCGGACUUCGGUCCGAUGCAGUUAGUCCGGACUUCGGUCCGAUGCAGGGGACAAGGUCCCAGUCAGUUUCCGGACUUCGGUCCGAUACAUGGGGCCAGGCCCCAGCUAGUCCGGGCUUCGGCCCGAUGCAGUUUCCGGACUUCGGUCCGAUGCAGGGGACAAGGUCCCAGUCAGUUUCCGGACUUCGGUCCGAUACAUGGGGCCAGGCCCCAGCUAGUCCGGGCUUCGGCCCGAUGCAGUUUCCGGACUUCGGUCCGAUGCAGGGGACAUGGUCCCAGUUAGUCCGGGCUUCGGCCUGAUGCAGUUUCCAGAAUUUGGUCUGAUGGAAUGGGCAAGGCCCAAUAUGUGCUUUAUAUGUUGUAUGGUAUGUGGUAGUUUGGGGGAGCUCACUAAGCUUCGUGCUUACGGUUUUCAGUUUUGGUUUCAGGUAGUCAGUUUUAAAAGAGGAGCUCGGAGAGGUUGCAGUGUACACACCAUAGUCAGAUAGCCUGGGGAAUGUUUUGCUCUGAUAAUGAGAUUAUGUUUUGAAUUUAAUACUCGAAAAUUAUGUUAUGACUUAUGAUACGUUUUUAUAAACAUGGUUUAGUAAUGUUUUAAAAGAAAUUUUUAG